AAAGGUCAUGGCGAGAUAAGCCGUUUAUCAUUAUGAUAGGUAUCAAGUGGAAGUACAGUGAUGUAUGCAGCUGAGGUAUCCUAAUAGACCAAAAAAUUUGAAC
rnacentral:rRNA from 1 species